rnacentral:rRNA from 1 species
AGAGUUUGAUCAUGGCUCAGAACGAACGCUGGCGGCGUGGAUAAGACAUGCAAGUCGAGCGCUGACUACGAGGUAGCAAUAUUUCGUGGUUGGAGCGGCGCAAGGGUGCGUAACACGUGGGUAAUCUGCCAUGAAGUCUGGAAUAACUUGCUGAAAGGCGAGCUAAUGCCGGAUGUGAAAAUCGGGAGGCAUCUCCUGAUUUUCAAAGUUGGGGACCGUAAGGCCUGACGCUUCUUGAUGAACCCGCGGCCUAUCAGCUAGUUGGUGAGGUAACGGCUCACCAAGGCUAAGACGGGUAGCUGGUCUGAGAGGACGACCAGCCACACUGGAACUGAGACACGGUCCAGACACCUACGGGUGGCAGCAGUCGAGAAUUUUUCACAAUGGGGGAAACCCUGAUGGAGCGACGCCGCGUGGGGGAUGAAUGGCUUCGGCCCGUAAACCCCUGUCAUUCGCGAACAAUGUUCCGGCAAUAACACUGUCGGAAUUGAUAGUAGCGGAAGAGGAAGGGACGGCUAACUCUGUGCCAGCAGCCGCGGUAAUACAGAGGUCCCGAGCGUUGUUCGGAUUCACUGGGCGUAAAGGGUGCGUAGGUGGUCGGGUAAGUCUGAUGUGAAAUCUCUGGGCUCAACCCAGAAAUGGCAUUGGAUACUAUUCGGCUUGAGGGUUGGAGGGGGGACUGGAAUUCUCGGUGUAGCAGUGAAAUGCGUAGAUAUCGAGAGGAACACCAGUGGCGAAGGCGAGUCCCUGGACAACUCCUGACACUAAGGCACGAAAGCUAGGGGAGCAAACAGGAUUAGAUACCCUAGUAGUCC